AGCAGCCGCGGUAAUUCCAGCUCCAAUAGCGUAUAUUAAAGUUGUUGCAGUUAAAAAGCUCGUAGUUGAAUUUCGGGGUUAGUAGUUUGGUCGUGCCAAUGGUAUGUACUGGGCUCACUGAUUCCUCCUUCCUGAUGAACUGUAAUGCCAUUAAUUUGGUGUUGCAGGGAAACAGGACUGUUACUUUGAAAAAUUAGAGUGUUUAAAGCAAGCUAACGCUUGAAUACAUUAGCAUGGAAUAAUGAAAUAGGACGUUCGAACCUAUUUUGUUGGUUUCUAGGAUUGACGUAAUGAUUAAUAGGGAUAGUUGGGGGCAUUAGUAUUCAAUUGUCAGAGGUGAAAUUCUUGGAUUUAUUGAAGACUAACUACUGCGAAAGCAUUUGCCAAGGAUGUUUUCAUUAAUCAAGAACGAAAGUUAGGGGAUCGAAGACGAUCAGAUACCGUCGUAGUCUUAACCAUAAACUAUGCCGACUAGGGAUCGGAUGAUGUUAAU
rnacentral:misc_RNA from 1 species